GACGAACGCUGGCGGCGUGCUUAACACAUGCCAGUCGAACGCUGAACCCGCUUCGGUGGGGGAUGAGUGGCGAACGGGUGAGUAACACGUGGGCAACCUGCCCCCGGCUCUGGGAUAACUCCAAGAAAUUGGGGCUAAUACCGGAUGUGACCGCUGGCCGCAUGGUCUGGUGGUGGAAAGGGUUUCCGGCUGGGGAUGGGCCCGCGGCCUAUCAGCUUGUUGGUGGGGUAGUGGCCUACCAAGGCGACGACGGGUAGCCGGCCUGAGAGGGUGACCGGCCACACUGGGACUGAGACACGGCCCAGACUCCUACGGGAGGCAGCAGUGGGGAAUAUUGCGCAAUGGGCGGAAGCCUGACGCAGCGACGCCGCGUGGGGGAUGACGGCCUUCGGGUUGUAAACCUCUUUCAGCAGGGACGAAGCGCAAGUGACGGUACCUGCAGAAGAAGCACCGGCCAACUACGUG
rnacentral:rRNA from 1 species